AGUCACGGUAUCCCUCGGUCCGGACAGAAUCGUUUAGCAUAAGGAAAUGAAUAUCAUUUCCAGCGUAAGACUCGAAAUAAUAAGAAUCGUUAUCUGCUUUCUUUGGGGUAACUGAUAGCUGAUCUGUAGUCUGACUAGUCAAUUCAUUCAUUUUAUCUUUUCGAAUUUCUUCAAGCUGAGAGAUAAGAAGUUGAUUUUGUAACUUUAAUUUCUUUAUUUCUGCAUCUUUAGAAACAUCUGCUGGAUUCUCUACUUCAAUUUCGAGAGUAUUGUCGUCCUCAAAAUCUGAAUCGAGUUCAUCGCCAAGCGAGAAGAGUACACUGUCGUCAGGGAGUACA